rnacentral:rRNA from 1 species
UACGUAGGGUGCAAGCGUUAUCCGGAAUUAUUGGGCGUAAAGAGCUCGUAGGCGGUUCGUCGCGUCUGGUGUGAAAGUCCAUCGCUUAACGGUGGAUCUGCGCCGGGUACGGGCGGACUGGAGUGCGGUAGGGGAGACUGGAAUUCCCGGUGUAACGGUGGAAUGUGUAGAUAUCGGGAAGAACACCAAUGGCGAAGGCAGGUCUCUGGGCCGUUACUGACGCUGAGGUUCGAAAGCAUGGGUAGCGAACAGG